rnacentral:rRNA from 1 species
GGGGAAUAUUGGACAAUGGACGAAAGUCUGAUCCAGCGACGCCGCGUGGAGGAAGAAGUCCUUCGGGAUGUAAACUCAUGAAGCUAACGAAUAAGACGGAAGGGGAACCUUCCGGGAGAAGGUAAUUAGUGAAAAGCCCCGGCUAACUACGUGCCAGCAGCCGCGGUAAUACGGAGGAUCCGAGCGUUAUCCGGAUUUAUUGGGUUUAAAGGGUGCUCAGGCGGGGGGUUAAGUCGGCGGUGAAAUUUUGCAGCUCAACUGUAAAAGUGCCUUCGAAACUGGUUUCCUUGAGUGCGGAUGAGGUAGGCGGAAUUUGUGGUGUAGCGGUGAAAUGCAUAGAUAUCACGAGGAACUCCGAUUGCGCAGGCAGCUUACCAAGCCGUAACUGACGCUCAAGCACGAAGGCGUGGGGAUCAAACA